rnacentral:rRNA from 1 species
UAGUUUGAUCCUGGCUCAGGAUGAACGCUGGCGGCAUGCCUAAUACAUGCAAGUCGAACGGAGUGAAGCCUUCGGGUUUCAUUCAGUGGCGAACGGGUGAGUAAUACGCAGGGAACCUGGCCAUGGCAGGGGGAUACACUCUGGAAACGGAGCAUAAGACCCCAUAGGCAGUAAGGCGGCAUCGCCUUACUGUUAAAGAAAGCUGAAAGGCUUUGGCGAUGGAUGGACCUGCGGUGCAUUAGCUUGUUGGUGAGGCAACGGCUUACCAAGGCGAUGAUGCAUAGCCGGCCUGAGAGGGCGGACGGCCACACUGGGACUGAGACACGGCCCAGACUCCUGCGGGAGGCAGCAGUAGGGAAUUUUCGUCAAUGGGCGCAAGCCUGAACGAGCAAUGCCGCGUGAGUGAGGAAGGUCUUCGGACUGUAAAGCUCUGUUGCCGGGGAAAAAGGGGAAAUGCAGGAAAUGGCAUUUCAUGGAUGGUACCCGGCCAGAAAAGCCACGGCUAACUACGUGCCAGCAGCCGCGGUAAUACGUAGGUGGCGAGCGUUAUCCGGAAUGAUUGGGCGUAAAGGGUGCGCAGGCGGUCUGUUAAGUCUGAAGGCAAAGGGAUGAGCUCAACUCAUUUAUGAUUCAGAAACUGGCAGACUUGAGGACAGGAGAGGGCGGUGGAACUCCAUGUGUAGCGGUAAAAUGCGCAGAGAUAUGGAAGAACACCAGUGGCGAAGGCGGCCGCCUGGCCUGUGACUGACGCUGAGGCACGAAAGCGUGGGGAGCAAAUAGGAUUAGAUACCCUAGUAGUCCACGCCGUAAACGAUGAGGAGCAGGUGUUGGGAGUGAAAUCUCAGUGCCGAAGCCAACGCAGUGACUCCUCCGCCUGGGGAGUAUGCACGCAAGUGUGAAACUCAAAGGAAUUGACGGGGGCCCGCACAAGCGGUGGAGUAUGUGGUUUAAUUCGAAGCAACGCGAAGAACCUUACCAGGUUUUGACAUCGGAUGCGAAGGCGCAGAGAUGCGCUGGAGGCUAUCAUCCAGACAGGUGGUGCAUGGUUGUCGUCAGCUCGUGUCGUGAGAUGUUCAGUUAAGUCUGGCAACGAGCGCAACCCCCGUGGUAUGUUACUAACGCAUUUGGGCGAGGACUCAUAUCAGACUGCCGGUGACAAACCGGAGGAAGGCGGGGAUGACGUCAAAUCAUCAUGCCCCUUAUGACCUGGGCUACACACGUACUACAAUGGCGUCUACAGAGGGAAGCGACCCUGAGAAGGGAAGCGAAACCGGAAAAGGGCGUCCCAGUUCGGAUUGAAGUCUGCAACCCGACUUCAUGAAGAUGGAAUCGCUAGUAAUCGCGGAUCAGCAUGCCGCGGUGAAUACGUUCCCGGGCCUUGUACACACCGCCCGUCAAACCAUGGAAGCCGGCAACGCCCGAAGCCGGUGGCAUAACCUUUUAGGAGUGAGCCGUCGAAGGCGGGGCCGAUGACUGGGGUUAAGUCGUAACAAGGUAUCC